GACAGAGGGUGCAAACGUUGUUCGGAAUUACUGGGUGUAAAGCGCGUGUAGGCGGCUAUGUAAGUCGGGCGUGAAAUCCCACGGCUCAACCGUGGAAGUGCACUCGAAACUGCAUAGCUAGAGUCCUGGAGAGGAAGGUGGAAUGCUUGGUGUAGAGGUGAAAUUCGUAGAUAUCAAGCGGAACACCGGUGGCGAAGGCGGCCUUCUGGACAGUGACUGACGCUGAGACGCGAAAGCGUGGGGAGCAAACAGG
rnacentral:rRNA from 1 species